AGGCCAGGAGAGAGAGGCAGGGUCUGAUAUGAAACCUCCAUGGCAGCUGUUGAUCAGAUGUUGCCUCUCUCUUCCUCUCUG
rfam:Myotis davidii contig199905, whole genome shotgun sequence.